GAUGAACGCUGACAGAAUGCUCAACACAUGCAAGUCAACUUGAACUUCGGUUUGGGUGGCGGACGGGUGAGUAACGCGUAAAGAACUUGCCUCACAGCUAGGGACAACAUUUGGAAACGAAUGCUAAUACCUGAUAUUAUGAUUAUAUGGCAUCGUAUAAUUAUGAAAGCUAUAUGCGCUGUGAGAGAGCUUUGCGUCCCAUUAGCUAGUUGGAGAGGUAACAGCUCACCAAGGCGAUGAUGGGUAGCCGGCCUGAGAGGGUGAUCGGCCACAAGGGGACUGAGACACGGCCCUUACUCCUACGGGAGGCAGCAGUGGAGAAUAUUGGACAGUGGACCGAGAGUCUGAUCCAGCAAUUCUGUGUGCACGAUGAAGUUUUUCGGAAUGUAAAGUGCUUUCAGUUGGGAAGAAAAAAAUGACGGUACCAACAGAAGAAGUGACGGCUAAAUACGUG
rnacentral:rRNA from 1 species